GAGCAAGGCUGCCUCACCUGUGUGCUCAACAGCCCUAUGGGCCAGAAGAAAGACACCCUGCACCUGGGGAGCAUCGGUGCACAGAAUGGUUCUCAAGAGCGUCACCCUCCGGCUUUUGAAGAGUUCUUCCAUACGAUGAAAGGGUGUGAGUCCAGAUCUGCAAACAAAACCACAGUCAACAGGAUCUCGGUUUAUUGUGGUUUAAUUAUGACUUGCUCCACCACCCAAGAGGACAGCAAGCAAGAUACAAGGAAACAGAUUAAACAGGUCCUGAGAGAGAGCAAACCCAUGAGACACUGACAUAGUCCUUUUCAGUUGAAUGACCACUCUUACACUGUCCAGUAAAAAAAAAAUGGCCAUUAGAGCACUCAGUUGAUUUUAAAGUGAAGAACAACUAAAUUAAUCAUUAGAUAUUUUCUAGUUACUGAAAGGGACUGCACAUCACAAGACAUGGGUUGUCAUAAUAGGAGAAAAGAGAAGUUAGAGACCAAGGAGUGUAAAAGUUGAAGUAAGAGCAUGACAUGUACUGAAAGGAAGUCAUCUAAAUUGAGAAUUUUAAAAAUGUACAUUUAAUAUAAUUUAUGGUUCAUGUGUACUAUGACAGCUACAUUCAACAUAAAAUAAUUCAGUGUAUAUGUGUUUAUGUAUAUUGGAAAAAUGAUUGAAAAUCUUUAGGAAUAUGGCA